rnacentral:sRNA from 1 species
GCAGUGGCCCGUCCCCGGGAUCGGCCUCGGCCACCGGCCACCUGGCGCCGGGAAGCUUCCAUCCCUGCAAAGGAGAAAAAAAAAAAAAAAAGAGUGGAAGGAGGUGAGCGCGGCGAGGACCGAGGCGAAGGAGGGUCAGUGCGGAAACUCGGUGUGAGGGGCCGAGUGAGGAAGGUUCCUGCAGGGCGGGGACCCGGUUUUAGGAGGUCGCGGCCCUGCCUUUACCGGAGGGCGAGUCCCCGCCAAGCCCGGGCUUUGGAGAUGUACCGAAGAGGGGAGGGAGGACUAGGUACAGAAAUAAACCGCGGAGCAAGAAGCACACAGUGCCGAAGACAGAAAGCCGGAGAAGUCGAAACCGCCUCCUCAGCCUCUGGGGGAGCGUGGUAGGGGAAGAGUCACAGACUGACCCUACGUCUCCCGCCGGGAACCAACUGCAGUGGUACACCCCACGGAAAGCUACGUCUCCUUACCGACGGCGCACGCCCCAACAGACUACAACUCCCAGAAGCCCCCGCCCGCGUUCCGGCGACAGCGUGGCAGCACGGGCCGCUUCCUUAUCCGGAUAUGUGCUGUCUCUGGUCUGUCCAAACUCCUCCCAGGCUUGGUGUGAGAUCACAAAUGUGUCACAGCUGCUGGCUUCUCCUGUGCUCUACACGGACCUGAAUUACAGCAUAAACAACUUGAGCAU